UUUUUCAAUACUAAAUUGAAUAAAAGUGAUACUUCUAAGCCGAAUUUCGAACAUCGGUCUAUUCCAAACGAAAGAGCAUACUUUUUUCUAUAUAAUGGCAUAUUCUUUAGAGAUUUUUUCUAAAUAGUUAAAAUUUUAUGAGGAAUAUAGUCAAAAUUUUAGUAUCGUUCGUUAUCGAAUUUUCACGGUUUUUUCAAUACUAAAUUGAAAAAAAG